rnacentral:misc_RNA from 1 species
CGAAAUGCGAUAAGUAAUGUGAAUUGCAGAAUUCCGUGAAUCAUCGAAUCUUUGAACGCACAUUGCGCCCCCUGGUAUUCCGGGGGGCAUGCCUGUCCGAGCGUCAUUGCGAACCCCUCAAGCACGGCUUGUGUGAUGGGCCCUCCCGCGUCUUGGUCGUCAAGACGGGCCCGAAAAUCAGUGGCGGCUUCGCGGUUAUCCGAUCAGCCAGAGCGUAUGGGGACUUUCUCUCUGUCACACGCCCGCGGCGCGGACCGACGCCUGUCGACCUUUAUUCAUCUUUUUCUCGGUUGACCUCGGAUCAGGUAGGGAUACCCGCUGAACUUAAGC